UAGGAAAACCCAAGUAAUCUAGUUCUUAUUUAGACUAUUGAGGUUUUUUCUUUUCUAUAUUCUAUUUAUCUAACGUCAAUCUCUCUGGUAUCCCUCUAGAGAAAACCAAAUUUUAUAUAAAUUAAAUUAUUCAGAAUUACAAAGUGGAAAUGUAAGAUUGAGUUGGAAUAUCAAAUUACCAGAUGAGUGCUAAAUUGUGGUUUUUCUGGUGAUAUCCUUUGUGAACAGAUUGUAGAAAUUAUAUUUGGUUGUGCUAGUCGAUGCUUCUGAUAUGAUCCCAUCUAUUUCCCUUUUUUCUUUUGAUAACCGGCUUUUCUAUUUAUUUAUUUCCACAGUUCUUUCACUGUCAAGUUCGAUAAGAACGGAACAAAUUCAUGGAACAACAGGAAUUAGCAAGUAUACAACUGAGCAUUGCAGGUGCACAACCAUACAUUGUCUUAGAUAACAAUGAGUGAGAUUCUCUGCAAUCAUGGGGUUUGUGCGUAAACAGAAUAAUGCAACUGCAGAUGUAAGGGUUGAAAUGAUUCACGGACUGGCAUCAUGGGGUUUGUGCGCUGUGGUAACAAGUUUGUAUUAGCCAAUUGAGUUGGGAGAACUGGACGACAAGUUGUUAUUGUUAUUAGUUUUGAAGUUACAUUUGGGGUGUAUUUUCUGUUUGUAGGGAUUUUUAUAUUAGACAUCAUGCCAAUGUAAAAGUUACGAACAAACAAUAUUAUCUACUAUGAAAUUUAGAGA